rnacentral:rRNA from 1 species
GCCUAUGGCCAGAUGGGACUGAUUGCAUGUCAUCUGGAAAGCUAAGCAGGUCUGGACCUGGUUUGUACCUGGAUGGGAGGCUGCCUAGGAAUCCGGGAGGCUGCUUGUC